GGACUACAGGGGUUUCUAAUCCUGUUUGCUCCCCACGCUUUCGUACCUCAGCGUCAAUAUAUGUCCAGUUAGUCGCCUUCGCCACUGGUGUUCUUCCGAAUAUCUACGAAUUUCACCUCUACACUCGGAAUUCCACUAACCUCUCCAUAAUUCUAGCGAUCUAGUUUCAAAGGCAGUUCUGGAGUUGAGCUCCAGGCUUUCACCUCUGACUUGAAUCACCGCCUACGUACUCUUUACGCCCAGUAAUUCCGAACAACGCUAGCUCCCUCCGUAUUACCGCGGCGGCUGGCACG
rnacentral:misc_RNA from 1 species